AAGCUAGACAAAAUGAUGCUCGCAGAAAACAAAAAGGAAAACUAUACAGUGACGAAAAAAGGAAAGCUAAAGAGUCUACCAUCGAUGUUGGAGACUAUGUUGUAGUGAAAAAUUUUAUUCGGAAAAAUAAACUUUCACCAAAUUUUAACCCUCAACAAUACAAAGUUAUCCAAAGAGAUGGAACACGCCUUCAAUUGAAAAAUCUUGAAACAGGUGUAAUUUGUAGCCGGCAUGUAAAUCAUACAAAACGAACUUUAAAUAAAAACCCAUUAUUGGACAAAGAUGCAAUAGAUGAGAAUUCAAAUCAACUCUCAGCUGGUAUACAACUUCAGGAUGCCGAGACUCUAACGCAGAAAGAAACUAAAACACAGGACGUCGAGUUGCCACCAUCAUCAUCCGACGAAUUGAAGAAGCGACGACUCACACCCGAAGCCAAUCAAGUUAAACCAAAAAGACAGAAAUGUCUACCUAAAAGAUUUCUAAACUUUGAAUUGUAUAAUUUAAAUAAUAAUGAACACUAAUUAA